rnacentral:rRNA from 1 species
UAGUCCACGCUGUAAACGGUGGGUACUAGGUGUGGGGUCCAUUCCACGGAUUCCGUGCCGUAGCUAACGCUUUAAGUACCCCGCCUGGGGAGUACGGCCGCAAGGCUAAAACUCAAAGGAAUUGACGGGGCCCGCCACAAGCGGCGGAGCAUGCGGAGUUAAUUCGAUGCAACGCGAAGAACCUUACCUGGGUUUGGUACAUGGAUCAGGAGUGCUCAGAGAUGGGUAGUGCCUCUUUUGGGGUUUGGGUUCACAGGUGGUGCAUGGCUGUCGUCAGCUCGCGUCGUGAGAUGUUGGGUUAAGUCCCGCAACGAGCGCAACCCUCGUUCACUGUUGCCAGCACGUUAUGGUGGGGACGUCAGUGGAGACCGCCGGGGUCGAACUCGGAGGAAGGUGGGGAUGACGUCAAGUCAUCAUGCCCCUUAUGUCCAGGGCUUCACGCAUGCUACAAUGGCCGGUACAAAGAGUUGCGAGCCUGUGAGGGUGAGCGAAUCUCGGAAAGCCGGUCUCAGUUCGGAUUGGGGUCUGCAACUCGACCUCAUGAAGUCGGAGUCGCUAGUAAUCGCAGAUCAGCAACGCUG